rnacentral:rRNA from 1 species
UACGUAGGGGGCAAGCGUUGUCCGGAUUUAUUGGGCGUAAAGAGCGUGUAGGCGGCCAUACAGGUCCGUUGUGAAAACUCGAGGCUUAACCUCGAGACGUCGAUGGAAACCGUAUGGCUAGAGUCCGGAAGAGGAGAGUGGAAUUCCUGGUGUAGCGGUGAAAUGCGCAGAUAUCAGGAAGAACACCCGUGGCGAAGGCGGCUCUGUGGGACGGUACUGACGCUGAGACGCGAAAGCGUGGGGAGCGAACAGG